GCGAAUGGCAGUGCGAUUUCAUGGAGUGAAAUCACUGCCUAUUGUUAUGCAAUAUUUAUAAAAAUACAGAAUAAUUAAUUAGAAAUAACGCAAGUGAACACUUUUUACUGAAACAAUGAGGAUUUUGAUUGUUAAUUUGAGUUUCGACUCCAGUGACGCUGAAAAUGAGGAUAGAAGCGUUAAAUUGCACAAUUAUUGUGAAAAAAGUACGCAAAUGUUUUUGUACGACCACGAGCAGUAUGUUGCUGAACACUGAGUACCUCUUUUUAAAAUUGAUAUUCAAAGCAAAAGCAUCUCAAAAAUAUAUCAGACAAAGCUUGAAGGUAUUACAAACUUGUGGCAUCCAAACUGGUUGAGGAGACUGAAUCUGAUUCUAGUGACUUUGUUUUGAAAAUAUAAGAUUCAACUGAAAAUUCUAAUAUCACAAUAACUUCCAAUUUAUACAGAAGUACUAACUGCAGUAAUUAAUUAUUAUAAUCAAAAUAACACCUUUGCUUUAAGCUAUUAUCAGGUAAUGAAAACAGCCAAUUUUUACAGAUGAAUCUAGUAGACAGAAUAAAGUAUUGUCUAUCAAUUCAUUUGAUCAAAUUAAUCAGCUAUUUAAUAUUUCUGACAUAAUUACCUAGAUAAAUCUUUGGAACUAUGAUUAGGUAAAAUAUUAUUGUGAUGAUUAAAUUAAAGAAAAUUAAAAUGAUUAAAUUAAGAAUAUUUCCAUGAAAUAUAACUGCAUAAUACAGCUACUGAAACUUCAAGUACUCAGUAUCACAAUCCUCUGUGGUAUAAUUCAAAUAAUGCUCAUAGUACAGCUAUAGAAAAUAUCGAAUUAACAAAAGAAACGUUGAAGAACUCUUAUUUUCAAGAACAAAAUAUGAU